rnacentral:lncRNA from 12 species
UUCCCGUUGAAGGGCUUGAUAUUUAUUAGCUCGGCGGUGAGCUGGUCAGCGGAGAUCCACGCUCCAGGGGACGAGCCGAGUCCAGCUCCACAGGCCGCUCCACCCUCCUCUGCUCAGACCAACUGGAGCUCCUCCCGGGGCAAUGCUGGCUGGCGCCCGGGGUGCAGGAGGUGGCACCGGGGGCAGCGGGCCCGCGUCUCCCUGCAGGAGCGGGGCUCGGGGCUGUGAAGGAGCCUGGCUGGCCCUCUGGCGGGGAGGCCACCCGGGCCUGCUCAGGACGGGCAGCGAGCUGGGAGCAGAGUGGACGCCAGCCCCAGAGAUGCCCGCAGCCCUCGGGAGCACUCCCUGGAGGACGGCCGCCCCGGCCUCAGCGGCCCAGGAGCAGCUGGUUGGCAAGAGUUCGCUCAGGGAAAUGCCGUCGGUUCCCGUGGAGGCGACAGCACUGCCUCUGACCCAGUGUGGCUCCCCGUUCAGCCUGCCCCCUGGACCUCGGCUCCCAGCCCUGCCAUUUCGGGGGCUGCCCCAGGGCUCGAAGGAUCCAAUGGCAGGAAAGCAUCCUGCAGCUCCUGAAGCUCUAAACUGUCGAGGUAACUAUUAUGCUUCACACGCUGAUAGUUCGGGGAGAAAAAGAGGAAGAUUUUUUUUUUUUUUUUUUAAGAUGUAGAUUUUUUAGAACGCUAGUCCAGUGUUAGCCAGUGGGCUGCUGAGGGGGAUGGGGGAGACAGCAACCUGAUUUUUAGCCUUUGCCAAUGGCCACACUGUGACUACCCCCGCCGAGGCCCGUUGCCAGCUGUCGGUAGGACAUCGGAGCCCAGAUAGGAGAAGGGAGGCUCUCAGAGCUGGUACAAGCCGGAUCUGGUACACCGUUGGCUCUGAUGACAUUUCAGAAGAGCAGUGUCUUUAACAAAAACACCUACGAUAUCUGCAGUCAUCCUGGGAAAUUCCCAAAGCACCCGCACCCCACCCCACCCCACCCCUGCCCACUUCAUGUGCUCUCUCCGUGAUGGCGAGACACCACCUCCCAGCUGGCACAGGAGGCCGCCCCAGGAACACUUGUGCAGAGCCCAGCCUAAGGAAACUUGCCAUGUGCUGCUUGGUCCCCGGUCCGGGGCGGGGGAUGGUGUCCACCUCCCAUAGAAUUCACAUAGUGCCUGGGGAGAAAUGCGCCCCAAGGAAAUGUUAUUGCCGCAAGCAGAUGCUGGGUGCCACGAAUGAGAGCUCGUUCCACCCCUUCUCUCCCUGUUCACAGGAUGGCAGUUGGCCUUAGUCUGGCCGCACAUCACACAUGGGCAGUGGCCUAGGCAAUGUUACUUCCCUCCAUGUCAGAGGAGACUGGAAGUACAGCCCCCAGAGCAGAUCUACACCAAGAGCCCAUGCUUCUUCUGGUUACCGUGUCCACAGUCCUCAUGGUCCAAAGUGUCUGCUGGAGCUCCAGCCAUCACACCUGGAUCCCAGGCAGCAGGAUGGGACUGCUGUAUGUGAUUUUAAUUGCAUAUCCAGGGAUCCCUCAGUGGCUCAGCAGUUUAGCGCCUACUUUUGGCCCAGGGCAUGAUCCCGGGGUUCUGGGAUCAGUCCCCAUCAGGCUCCCUGCAUGGAGCCUGCUUCUCCAUCUGCCUGUGUCUCUCUCUCUCUCUCUCUGUCUUCCAUGAAUAAAUAAAUAAAAUAAAAUAAAAAUAAAUUGCA